ensembl:lncRNA novel transcript
CUGGUUCUCCUGCACCAGACGCCGCACCUGCGCCCGCAGCUUCUGCUUCUCUGAUUCUACAGCCCCCAGGUGGCUCGACAAUGCCAAGAUCACCUGUGCAACCAGCCCAGCCUCUGCUGCCACAGCCAGUAGGUUACUGCUCCCUGCCUCAGGGCUAGCGCUUGCCCACAGAACUCUGCUAGAUGGCUGAAGGACCACCCAAAGACUCCAUCCCCACUUCUGCUGAGGGGCCACAGCAUCCCCUGCCUUUCUGCAGCUCCCAGGUCUUGCUGGACCUACCUCCAGAACAUCCAGAACUGGUCCCUUUUCUCCACCGUCAUAGCCACCCCUUAAUUCCAAGCACCAGCUCUCAUUUGAAUUCCAGCAGUGGCUUCCUAACCACUCAUUGGAGAGUGAUUCCAUCCUCGACCCACUGAGGUUUAUUCUCCACAUCUCAGCCAGAGAGAGUUUUUAGAAACUCAAGUCAGACUGUGUUGCCUGCCUGCUUAAAGCCCUCCAGAGGCUUUCUGAUUUCCUGAGAAUAAAACCCAAACCAACCA